UACGGGGAGAGCAGUGUUCGGUGAAUUACUGGGCGUAAAGGGCGCGUAGGCGGUUCGAUAAGUCCCGUGUGAAAUCCCUCGGCUCAACUGAGGAACUGCACGGGAAACUGACGGGCUUGAGUUCGGGAGAGGGAAGCGGAAUUCCGGGUGUAGCGGUGAAAUGCGUAGAUAUCCGGAGGAACACCAGAGGCGAAGGCGGCGCGCUGGGCUGCACCUGACGCUGAACCACGAAAGCCAGGGUAGCGAACGGG
rnacentral:rRNA from 1 species